CCUUUAAACAAAAACCAACUCUUAUCACAAUUUAUGGUUUUAUAUUAGACCUCAAACAGACUCCUCCCAGCUGCAUUUGCAACGGAGCCUUCAUCUCUGCCAAGUUGAAUCACUUCCUCUUUAAUUACAUGUUGAGUACAGACAUCAACUAAAUCUUCAUCACUAUUUAACAGUCCCUGUGAUAUGAGAUGCAAAAUCUUCUGUAGAAGACAUGAUCUGCUUUCUUCUCCUCUGCUGUGUGGCAGGAGUCUGUCUGGGUCUUGAGGUCCGUCAGUCUCACUCUGACAUUUUCACAAAACCAGGAGAUCAAGUGCAGAUCUUCUGCAGCCAUGAUAAAACUGACUACACACUGAUGCUGUGGUACCAGCGCUCACCAGGAGACACAACCAUGAAACUGAUUGGAUAUUUGAAUUAUGAAAUUGCUACCAAAGAAGAGCCAUAUAAGGAACAUUUCAAUAUCACAGGAGAUUUAAGUGGAGAUAAAGCAAAGAAUGGCUCUCUUACAGUCCAAAUAACUGGACCUGAGCACAGCGCAGUUUAUUACUGUGCAGCGAGCUAUGCACAGUGACUCUAGCUUCUUUCUCCUUUAAACAAAAAACAACUCUUAUCACAAUGUAUGGUUUUAAAUGGGACCUCAAACAGACUCCUCCCAGCUGCAUUUACAAUGGAGCCUUCAUCUCUGCCAAGUUGAACCACUUCCUCUUUAAAUGCAUCUAACAGUCCCUGUGAUAUGAGAUGCAAAAUCUUUUG